GACGAACGCUGGCGGCGUGCUUAACACAUGCAAGUCGAACGGAAAGGCCCUGCUUUUGUGGGGUGCUCGAGUGGCGAACGGGUGAGUAACACGUGAGUAACCUGCCCUUGACUUUGGGAUAACUUCAGGAAACUGGGGCUAAUACCGGAUAGGAGCUCCUGCUGCAUGGUGGGGGUUGGAAAGUUUCGGCGGUUGGGGAUGGACUCGCGGCUUAUCAGCUUGUUGGUGGGGUAGUGGCUUACCAAGGGUUUGACGGGUAGCCGGCCUGGGAGGGUGACCGGCCACAUGGGGACUGAGAUACGGCCCAGACUCCUACGGGAGGCAGCAGUGGGGAAUAUUGCACAAUGGGCGGAAGCCUGAUGCAGCAACGCCGCGUGCGGGAUGACGGCCUUCGGGUUGUAAACCGCUUUCGCCUGUGACGAAGCGUGAGUGACGGUAAUGGGUAAAGAAGCACCGGCUAACUACGUG
rnacentral:rRNA from 1 species